GGUGCCGACCUACUCCUAUGUAUAUAAAUCUAUUAAUUGGGGUUCUUUGUUUCUUAUUUUGUCUCUUGGCUUUAAGGUUAUUUCCCGCCGCUUCGUCCCAACCUAACCCUACGUAUAUAAAUCUAUUAGGAUUCUCUGUUUCUUACUUUGUCUCUUGGGUUUAAAGUUAUUUUCCGACGCUUGGUCCCAACCUAACCCUAUGCACAUGAAUCUAUUAGGGUUCUUUGUUUCUUGCUUUGUCUCUUAGCUUUAAGGUUAUUUUCCGCCGCUUGGUCCUCCUUUUCUCCAAAUCGAUCGUUGCUCCCCCUCUCUGUAGAUCACCACAACCUAGACUAGGGUGUGCUUCUCUCUCUCUCUCUCUCUCUCUCUCUCUCUCUCUCUCUCUCUCUCUCUCUCUCUAUGUGUGUGUGUGUGUGUGUUGUCUUGGCAAUUGCAUCUUCCAAAUCCUUAAUGGAAUUCUUCCAACCUACAGAGCAAUCGAAGGUCCUCCCAUUUACCGAUUAUAACUCUGAAACCCAUAAAAUUGUUGAAUACUAUACAUAUAUAGCGGAGGUACACAGCACGUCCUUGGAUGCAUCACCAUCGAAGAGAUUUUUUAAGCGAUUCUUGGGUGAUGAAGAAAGGGAGCGGCAUGCUUGAAGGACGAGGGGUGCAUGAGGAAGAUGAGAACGAUGGUGGUGCUAGGGAGGAUCCUAAUCGGAGUCCAAUAAUUCAGGAGUCUGUGGCGAUGGUUUAGGGUGUGGCUGGUCUGUCGGCUCCUAAAUGUUCUUAGACAAGGGGAGUGGGAAAUGCUACUUGGCUUGCGAUCAGUUCUCUUCCUAAACCAAUUCAAGCAAGUAACAUAAGGAGGAUUGUAAUCCCUCAGUAGGAUUACGGAUCCAAAAGAAAAUUUUAAUUUAUUUAUUUUUUAUUUUUUCCCUAA